rnacentral:rRNA from 1 species
AUACGUAGGGUGCGAGCGUUGUCCGGAAUUACUGGGCGUAAAGAGCUCGUAGGUGGUUUGUCGCGUCGUCUGUGAAAUUCCGGGGCUUAACUCCGGGCGUGCAGGCGAUACGGGCAUAACUUGAGUACUGUAGGGGAGACUGGAAUUCCUGGUGUAGCGGUGAAAUGCGCAGAUAUCAGGAGGAACACCGGUGGCGAAGGCGGGUCUCUGGGCAGUAACGGCCGCGGAGGAGGGAAAGCAUGGGUAGCGAACAGGAUUAGAUACCCUGGUAGUCCAUGCCGUAAACGGUGGGCGCUAGGUGUAGGGGUCUUCCACGACUUCUGUGCCGUAGCUAACGCAUUAAGCGCCCCGCCUGGGGAGUACGGCCGCAAGGCUAAAACUCAAAUGAAUUGACGGGG